AGAGACAGCAGUAGCCACGGUAAUACGAAGGGUGCAAGCGUUACUCGGAAUUACUGGGCGUAAAGCGUGCGUAGGUGGUGGUUUAAGUCCGUUGUGAAAGCCCUGGGCUCAACCUGGGAAUUGCAGUGGAUACUGGGUCACUAGAGUGUGGUAGAGGAUAGUGGAAUUUCCGGUGUAGCAGUGAAAUGCGUAGAGAUCGGAAGGAACAUCUGUGGCGAAGGCGACUAUCUGGGCCAACACUGACACUGAGGCACGAAAGCGUGGGGAGCAAACAGGAUUAGAUACCCCGGUAGUCCCUGUCUCUUAUAC
rnacentral:rRNA from 1 species